UUGCCAGUGACUGAGGACGUGUUCGGAUGUACCCGCAUUUGUAGAGUAUGGACGGACAUUGUUCAAACCUUUUAUGAGAUGAAGUCGAUAACUGAUCCGUGCAUAGAUGCAUAUAUCAUAUACUUAUACAAGAACUUGGUGACGAAAGGUGCAUCUCAUAUGUACAAAUUUCUUGAUGCUGGGUCAAUAUCGACAUCCAAUCUUUCAAAAGAAGCACGAACGGAGAAUUUGACAAAACGACUUAUGCAAAUGGAGUCGGGUCAGUUGCUUCUUGCUCCCUACAACAGUGGGUAAGUCCUUUUCAUUAAUAUAGCUAUUGUGGUAUGUAUGUCUAAUUUAACUGAUUUUAUAAUUUAUUUGGAAUGCAUAGAUCAGAUUGGAUAUUAAUAGUCAUUCAUUACUCGAAGACCAUGGUGUAUUCAAUCAACCCUUUGAGAAAUCGUCUGGACAAUGAUAUAAUGGAUGUCGUCAACCGGGCUUUGAAUAAGUGCAACAAAGUAAAGGUACAUUGGAAGUGUGUAAAGCUUAGUGUUUGGGAAAUGCCUUGUUGUGUCCAUAGUGCCCAAGACAACCUGGCUCAACAGAAUGUGGGUAUUACG